GAGUUUGAUCCUGGCUCAGAACGAACGCUGGCGGCAGGCUUAACACAUGCAAGUCGAGCGCCCCGCAAGGGGAGCGGCAGACGGGUGAGUAACGCGUGGGAACAUACCCUCCGGUUCGGAAUAGCUCAGGGAAACUUGGAUUAAUACCGGAUACGGCCUAGCGGCGAAAGAUUCAUCGCCGGAGGAUUGGCCCGCGUUCGAUUAGCUAGUUGGUGAGGUAACGGCUCACCAAGGCGACGAUCGAUAGCUGGUCUGAGAGGAUGAUCAGCCACAUUGGGACUGAGACACGGCCCAAACUCCUACGGGAGGCAGCAGUGGGGAAUAUUGGACAAUGGGCGCAAGCCUGAUCCAGCCAUGCCGCGUGAGUGAUGACGGCCUUAGGGUUGUAAAGCUCUUUCGCUAGGGACGAUAAUGACGGUACCUAGACAAGAAGCCCCGGCUAACUUCGUGCCAGCAGCCGCGGUAAUACGAAGGGGGCUAGCGUUGUUCGGAAUUACUGGGCGUAAAGCGCGUGUAGGCGGGCUUUUAAGUCAGGGGUGAAAUGCCAAGGCUCAACCUUGGAACUGCCUUUGAUACUGGAAGUCUUGAGUCCGGGAGAGGUGAGUGGAACUGCGAGUGUAGGGGUGAAAUUCGUAGAUAUUCGCAAGAACACCAGUGGCGAAGGCGGCUCACUGGCCCGGAACUGACGCUGAGACGCGAAAGCGUGGGGAGCAAACAGGAUUAGAUACCCUGGU
rnacentral:rRNA from 1 species